rnacentral:rRNA from 1 species
UACGGGGGGGGCAAGCGUUGUUCGGAAUUACUGGGCGUAAAGGGCCAGUAGGCGGCCAACUAAGUCGGAUGUGAAAUCCCCAGGCUCAACUUGGGAACUGCAUCCGAUACUGGAUGGCUUGAAUUCGGGAGAGGGAUGCAGAAUUCCAGGUGUAGCGGUGAAAUGCGUAGAUAUCGAGAGGAACACCUGCGGCGAAGGCGGGUUGCUGGGCUGACACUGACGCUGAUGCGCGAAAGCUAGGGGAGCGAACGGG